GAUGAACGCUGGCGGCGUGCCUAAUACAUGCAAGUCGAGCGAACAGACGAGGAGCUUGCUCCUCUGACGUUAGCGGCGGACGGGUGAGUAACACGUGGAUAACCUACCUAUAAGACUGGGAUAACUUCGGGAAACCGGAGCUAAUACCGGAUAAUAUAUUGAACCGCAUGGUUCAAUAGUGAAAGACGGUUUUGCUGUCACUUAUAGAUGGAUCCGCGCCGCAUUAGCUAGUUGGUAAGGUAACGGCUUACCAAGGCAACGAUGCGUGACCGACCUGAGAGCCUGAUCGUCCACACUGGUACUGCGACACGGUCCUGCUUCCUCCCGGAGUCUGCGGCAGGCAAUCUUCUGCGAGUCACGAAGACCUUACGUAGCUACGGCGCGUACAUGAUAAAGAUCUUCGGAUCGUAAAGCUGUGUUAUUCGGAAAGAAGAAAUGUGUAAUUAUGUAUGCCCGUCUUGACGGUACCUAAUCAGUAAGCCACGGCUAACUACGGG
rnacentral:rRNA from 1 species